rnacentral:misc_RNA from 1 species
AAGUCGUAACAAGGUUUCCGUAGGUGAACCUGCGGAAGGAUCAUUACAGAGUUCAUGCCCUCACGGGUAGAUCUCCCACCCUUGUAUAUCUAUCGAUGUUGCUUUAGCGGGCCACAGGCCCUGCCCGUACCGGUUCCGGCCGGUCGUGCCCGCUAGAGACCCCCUAACUCUGAAUGUUAGUGUCGUCUGAGUACUAUAAAAUAGUUAAAACUUUCAACAACGGAUCUCUUGGUUCUG